CGCACACACACACACAAACCUCCAUUCACCCCCCACCUCCAGCAUCUAGGAAGAAUUAGCAACAGUGACCUCCAUCAGAAAGUCUGGAAAGAGAACACUGCCACCAGCCACCUAGGCCUAGGAGGCACGAGCUGAGGCAGCUUCUCCAUCUGGAGCAUGAGAUGGUGAGGGGAAGCUCCAGGUCUCCCAGCAGAGGGAAAAUUGCCUGCUGGAACGCUGUUGAGAAGAAAUGUGGACUGUCUCCAGGUGUCACACAGGAGAUUUAAACCCUGGGCCAGAGAGAUGUUCAGUGAGAAAAGUGCUUACUACCAAGCCUGAUGGCUGAAUUUGAUCCCAGAAGCCAAAUGGUGGAAAGAGAGAACUGACUCCCACAAAUUGUCUUAUAACCUUCAUAUACGUGUGUUUGUGCAUGCAACAUACAAAAUAAAUAAAUGUUUAAAAUUAAAGAAUUAAAUAUUGGC
rnacentral:lncRNA from 1 species